GAUUAAGUUUGCCAUGAUUGGCUUAAGUGUGUGCAAGUGCGCAAUCGCAAAAAGUGUCCCGCGCAGUUCGCGCUUUACUUUCAAUAUGGCAGCAUGUACGAAUACGGUAGUCAUACAUGCUUGAAUGUCGUCUCGAAAGUAAGAACAGUGUAAAGAUUUUGAAACCAGACACACCACGGAAGAAUCACGUGAAAGCUGCGUGGCUAUAACAAAGGACAUACCGGCACCGGCGACAUAAGAUAUACACCUCGUGCCUCAUUCUUCUUAUGUUUGUGAUAAGUUUUCCAUAUAUACAGUAUCAUUGCUCGUGAUAAGGAUAUACAACGGCGUGCACACAAGGUCUUACGUAACACACGACUGCAUAUAAAUACAGAUAUUUGGUGAACACACCUCAUUUUACCACUUCAUAAUUUUCAUAUUUGAUAAGCUUCCUAUAUACAAUCUCACUGAUAAAGGAGAAUAUAACAUAAGCAAUAAAGGCGACGUAUAAGGCAUAUCCAAUAAUCUAUCUUCGUACAUAUAAUCGCAAUUUAGCUUUUCUGUUUCUUUAUAAGAUUAUAUCAUGUCCAAGUCAAAAUUACGACUAGACAUUACUUCUUUAACGCCAAGGCAGCGGCGACGUAUUUUUUUAAAAAAAUUCAAUAAUAUUUGCCAAAUGAAUAUUGAAUCAAAUUUGGAAGUUCAAAAUAAUAUAAGUGGAUCAAAUGGACCAGAAAAUAUCGAACAAUUACCUCAACAACAAAAUGUACUAAAGGAAAUUAAUUUUAAUUAUUCCAAUGUAAUGCAUACUCACAAGAUUACUGAAAAUGAAGAUGAUUUAAUUUUCAAACAUUUGAGAAUUGGUACUGAUAAUAAUAGUUCUCAUUCAAGUAUUUCAAGUGAUGAAUUUUCUAAUAAAACAGAUAUUAUUAACGACAUCCGAUUAUGGGCUAUUGAAAAUCAUGUCAGUCAUUCUGCUACUAGUAGUUUACUGAAAAUUCUAGUAAAAUAUGGCCAUAAUCUUCCUCUUGAUGCUCGAACUCUGUUCCAAACUCCCAAGCAAGUAGACAUUAUUGAAAUGACACCAGGCAAAUAUUAUCAUGCAGGUUUAAGUGAUAGUUUAAGAAAAUCUAUUCGUAAGCAUUAUUGUCAAAGUAAUUUACCAUCUCAAAUAAAUAUUAAUGUGAAUAUAGAUGGUCUUCCUUUAACAAAAUCUUCUGGCAGUCAAUUUUGGCCUAUUUUAGGUAGUAUAGUUGCAGAUUUUUACACUGAACCGUUUAUAAUUGGUGUUUAUCAUGGUUUUCAAAAGCCAAAAUGUUGCAAUACUUUUCUGAAAUAUUUCAAGGAUGAUUGUCUUGAAAUUUUUCGAACUGGUAUUGUACAGUAUGGCAAAAAAAUAACUGUAAAAUUGAAUGCAUUUAUCUGCGAUGCUCCUGCAAAAUCAUUUAUCAAGGGAACUAGAGGACAUAAUGCGUAUUUUGGAUGCGGUAAUUGUAUUCAAGAGGGAGAUUACGUAGAAAAUCGAGUAACGUACCCAGAAAUUAAUGCAAUAUUAAGGUCAGAUGAAUCAUUUAAAUUAAAACAACAAGAAGAACACCAUAAAAUGACUUCAAAUCUUGAAGACUUAAACAUUGGAAUGGUUACUCAAUUUCCUUUAGACUACAUGCAUCUCGUACUAUUAGGAAUAAUGAAAAGAUUAUUGCAGUUUUGGAUUAAAGGCAAACAUAAUGUUCGUAUGGUUGCAACUCAGAUAACUCUUGCUUCAACUUCUUUAUUAUCUAUGUCAUCAUUCUUACCCAAAGAAUUUGCUAGAAAACCAAGGAAAUUAGAUGAGGUCGAUCGCUUUAAAGCCACCGAAUUAAGACAAUUAUUAUUAUAUACUGGGCCAGUAAUUUUUUUGAAAAAAUUACCACGCGAUAAAUAUGUUCAUUUUUUGAGUCUAAGUAUAGCAAUUCGAAUUUUAUGUAGCAAAAAAUAUUGCGUACAACUGCUUGAUUAUGCACACAAUUUACUAUUGUAUUUUGUUGAAAAUUAUGGCACAUUAUAUGGUUGUCAAUAUAUAUCAUAUAACGUUCAUAAUUUAAUUCAUCUGUGUUAUUAUGUAAAAUUAUGGGGAGUGUUAGAUGAAUUUAGCGCGUUUAAGUUCGAAAAUUACAUGCAAAAAAUUAAAUCAAAGAUAAGAUCUUCAAGUCAACCAUUAGAACAAUUAGCCAAUCGUUGUAUAGAAGAAGAUAAUUUGGAUAUAACAAAUGUAGAAAAGAUUUAUCCAAUAUCAAAAGUACGUAUUAUAAAUGGCAGAAAGAUAAUAAAAUCGGUUCAAUGCAAGGGUUUCUAUCUUAGUACAAGAACUGCUGAUAAUUGUUGUUCUUUAUUAGAUGGUACAACGGUUUCGCUUACGAAAAUUUAUUUUAAAAAUAAACAGAUUUAUGUUACUGCUAAAAAGUAUUUGAAUAUUAAAUCAUUUUUCCACAUUCCAUGCGACUCUUUCAAUAUCGGUAUUAAACAAAUUAACGAGUUACAAUAUGAGUUAAUUACUAUUCCAUUGUUUGAUAUUAAAUUAAAAUGCGUAAAAUUGCCUUUAUGUGACGAAGAAGCUGUAGUAUUGCCUUUACUACACCAACAAGAAAUAUGUUAAUGAUUAUUAAUAAUGGCGAAAAAUUUCGCUGUCGUUACUUUUCCAAGCGAUGGAAAUAAUGAAGAAGAAAUUGUAUCAGAAGUUCCAUCUUUAUGGCUUUCUUUCAAUUUAAAAGAAUGCUGGUGGCCAUUGGUAAAAAAUGUAAAUACCUUUAUUAUAAAACAAAUUCCACCUGUUAUUAAUGAUCCUAAAUGGGAAUCUUAUCCCAUUAAAUUUCAUGGAUAUUAUGAUUCAUUAGAGGAAGCUAGACAGAGAGCAACGAACUAUUCUUCAAGUGAGGAAAGCAAUAUAAAUGAAAUAAAGAAGUCACGCACAAGACAGUUGAAUAAAACUGUUUCUCACAAUGAGUCUGAAUCUGAUUCUGAUGACUCACGUUUAGUUAUACCAAAUCCACCAAAUCUUACUGUAAAUACAAAUGCCUCGCAAUCAGUUAACAAAAGUCAAUCUAUCGCAACUGUUAUUAAUUCAUCAGUUGUCAGCAAUGAUAUUGACCUGGAGAUUCUUGAUGGAACUUUAGUACCACUUAAAAGUAUACAGGAUGUACAUACGUUAAUAUCAGAUGGAUUCGAAAAAAUGGAAGGUCAUUUUAAAAAUAUAUAUACAGCUAUAACUACAGUUACAUUAGGAAUACAAGAUCUAAAUGUUCAUUUAACAAAUAUAGAAAAACAAAAUAAUCAACAUAAAUCCAAAGCAUCUGUCACGGAUACAUCAAAUAUACAUCAAUUUUUUCCAUUUAAAAAUAUAAAUGAAGUAACAGCUUUUGAAAACCGUUUAUCAGAAAAUGUAGAUGAGUACAACAAAUUUAUGCUGUAUAUAUCUCGCAUAGGCGGAAGGUCCGCCAAGGAAAAUUUAAUUCGCAUAUACCGAACUUUAUUUUCCAAUGAAGUUGCCAAAGAAUCAUCUUGGAAAGGAUUGCGAAAUCAUUUUAAAAUUAGUAGCUUAAAGUAUAUAUUAAUGGGAAUACUAGCAACAAUUUCCGGUCAACAUCAAUUCACAAACAAAGAAUUUGAAGAGGUCACAAAAGAAUGGUUUCGCCAAGGUGGUCAGAGGCUUAGCAGACAAAAAGAUUUCGAAGAAAUAAAUCCGCAAGUCAUUUAAAUGUUUCAGAUGCUUAUGAUUUAUUUUCAUUAUAAUUUUUUUCUAUAGUGGCUAGA